ACAGUCUAUAUUGGAUCCUGAUGUUUUACCAUGUAACUGCAAACCGGAGAGGGAUCCUGAUGAAAAGCAGAAUAUCUCAAAAGCAUUGAACCAACCUUUGAGUGGAGAGCCUCCACCCACAGACAUGGCAGAGAAACACACAGAAGGAGACAAGGAAGAAGAAACUGAGGCUACAUCGGAUCAAGAGGUUUCAUCAUCCGACGACAAACAGGAAGUGACCGAUCCAAAUAAAAAGGCUCAACUCUCACAAGGUAAA